rnacentral:rRNA from 1 species
UUAAAUUGAAGAGUUUGAUCAUGGCUCAGAUUGAACGCUGGCGGCAGGCCUAACACAUGCAAGUCGAACGGUAACAGGAAGCAGCUUGCUGCUUUGCUGACGAGUGGCGGACGGGUGAGGAAUGUCUGGGAAACUGCCUGAUGGAGGGGGAUAACUACUGGAAACGGUGGCUAAUACCGCAUAACGUCGCAAGACCAAAGAGGGGGACCUUCGGGCCUCUUGCCAUCAGAUGUGCCCAGAUGGGAUUAGCUUGUUGGUGAGGUAACGGCUCACCAAGGCGACGAUCCCUAGCUGGUCUGAGAGGAUGACCAGCCACACUGGAACUGAGACACGGUCCAGACUCCUACGGGAGGCAGCAGUGGGGAAUAU